CCCUAUUUACUCAUAUCUUAACGUCUCUGUCUCUCUUGCGUCUGAUGUAUAUAAAGACUUGAACACUAAUGAGUUUUUGCUUCUUUAAUCUCCUCCAAACUGCAGUAAAUGUUUGUAGUUCUCAUACUCAGAUUACUACAACUUAUCGAUAACCAUAUAAGAUUGAAACAAAAUCAGAUUAUUAGUCUUAAAAAAAUAAGAAUAAGUUGACUAUAAAUCAGAUUAUUACUCUCAACUUCUGUAGUAAGUAAUCAUAUUGUUACAUAAACCUCGUACUGUUAGUUUUGAUAGCAAACUAUAAAGACUUACCAGGCUCUUGAGUUCUUUGUAAGAAUAGCAUUGCUAUAAUAUAAUAGUUCUUGAGGAAACAACUGUUUUUCCUGCUCUUGUCAGUAUCUUUCUUAUCUAUCUCCUCAGAACCUGGAAAAAAAGGAUUUAACAUACAUUACUGAUCAAUUUUUGCAGGUUAAUAAAUCUCUUGUGGAGUUAAUAAAGGCGUCAGGAAUGAAGAAAACACCAACCGAUUGGACUAACCUCACCCCUGAAACUCCCGGUAUAAGAGUUACACAGUUAUCCAUUCUUGUAGACCACUCUUAUUCUAUUGAAGGUUGUUCUGAGAC
rnacentral:lncRNA from 1 species